GGAGUGACAUGGUUAAAGAGACAGGGUCAGAGCUAGGCCCAAUUGAUUGCUUUAAAAAAUUCCACACUAAAAAGGAUGGAGAGAGUUGGGCUACUGAGAAAGCAAAAGAUCUAUGGGAUCAAAUGGAUAAUAUUAGGUCAAUUGCAACAUCUGAGGGUUCAAUAGUAAAUGAAUGGGAAAUAUAUC